CCGUAAACGAUGAUCACUCGCUGUUGGCGAUACACAGUCAGCGGCUAAGCAAAAGCAUUUAAGUGAUCCACCUGGGGAGUACGGCCGCAAGGCUGAAACUCAAAGGAAUUGACGGGGGCCCGCACAAGCGGAGGAACAUGUGGUUUAAUUCGAUGAUACGCGAGGAACCUUACCUGGGCUUAAAUGUAGAGUGCAUGAGGUGGAAACACUUCUUUCCUUCGGGACUCUUUGCAAGGUGCUGCAUGGUUGUCGUCAGCUCGUGCCGUGAGGUGUCGGGUUAAGUCCCAUAACGAGCGCAACCCUUAUCGUUAGUUGCCAGCGGGUCAAGCCGGGGACUCUAACGAAACUGCCGGUGUAAACCGAGAGGAAGGUGGGGAUGACGUCAAAUCAGCACGGCCCUUAUGUCCAGGGCUACACACGUGUUACAAUGGCCGGUACAGAGGGCAGCUACCUGGAGACAGGAUGCGAAUCUCGAAAACCGGUCUCAGUUCGGAUCGGAGUCUGCAACUCGACUCCGUGAAGCUGGAUUCGCUAGUAAUCGCGCAUCAGCCAUGGCGCGGUGAAUACGUUCCCGGGCCUUGUACACACCGCCCGUCAAGCCAUGGAAGCUGGGGGUACCUGAAGUCCGUAACCGCAAGGAGCGGCCUAGGGUAAAACUAGUGACUGGGGCUAAGUCGUAACAAGGUAACCGUA
rnacentral:rRNA from 1 species